GUGGUGAGGCAUUAGAAAUUUGCUUUUCUUGUGUUUAAACUUAAAGUUGGUGAAAUGUACUUGCUGCCACUUAAGGUCAACUAAUCCAGUUGCUGCUCAUGUGGAUCAAAGCCUUCAGUAGGAUUAAAGUCACUGGUCAGUCUUUCACAGGACCAGCAGCCAGAAGAGCGAUGUUUGCCCUCAUCAAUAUAUAUUGCACUGUGCAACAGUCUUGAACAACCCCUCAUUUCUUUAUGUUUUGCUUCCAAGGAGAUAGUUUAUUGUAUAUUUUCAUUCUUCAAACUAGUCUUGAGCUUUUUGAAGGUCUUUAACCCUUUCAUGCAUGAAUUAUGACAACCUCAAGCAGGAUUUUUUUUCUUAAGUUUUUUUUUUAUUCAUCUUUAGGCAUGACAAAACUAUUUUUGAACUUCAUUUUUUAACAUGUACUUUUCAGAGAGUUUCUUUUACAUCCAUUUAGGUGGACAACAUAUGUUUUGACCUAUGAAUUUGGUAUCUCCAAGUAUACCAUCAACACUGACACAAAUACAAGAAAACAGCCUUUGAAUAGCUAUCCACUGUAGUGACCACUAUAAGUGAAAGGGUUAAAAAGUUGUUGUUUUUUUUUUGGGGGUGGGGGGGGGGGAGGGGGGAUUUUGGGUGGUUUUUGUUUUUUUUUUUUUGUUUUUUGUUUUUUUUUUUGUAGCUGACCAUUUUUAGAGGAGUUAUUUUGUUGUUGUUCUUUUGUUUUUCUUAAGCUGUUUAACCCUAACCUAUGAAUCAUUCAUGCACAAAAAUGCACCUAACUCAAGGGAUGGACCAGUGUUGUUUACACAUAACAGACAACUUGGCAAAGAACCAAUUUUAAAUCGUGUCCUUAGGCACUUUAUCACAAAAAUACAAUUUUUUUCCUUGAAUCUUCAAAAAAAUCUUCAAAGAAGCUAUUUGGUUACAUUUCAGCCAAUGGUGCUGGAAAUUCUCUCAAUAUUAAUUGAAGUAUGACUACAGAAAAUAAAUUCCAGGUUGUAAUCCACCAUAAGAAAAGCACAUUAGUGGGAACAGUUUUGUUUUUUUAAGCAUGACAAAGAUCCCAUAUUUCCUAUGCAAUAACAGCUUAUGUGGAUAAACAAAUACACAGCGGAAGAGUCUCAGUCAUGGAUUGGCCUCCUCAGAGCACAGACUUCAGCAUUAUUGAAGCAGUGUGGGAUCACGUUCUCAUGACAGGGAACAAAUAAAAAGACUACUUAAAUAAAUUACAAAAAAUAUUGUCUAAGGGAGUUCAGACUGCGUUGAGGUUUAAGGACCAGAUAUUUAUGUUCAAGCUUAUUGGAAUUGUUAUUGCCUUAUAUACUGUAUUUGCUGCUGAUUGCUGUAGACUACCUGAAGAGCCUGUUCUAGCAUUUGACACACUUUUUUCAUGGUGGAAAUUUGGAAGUAAAGACUCCUGGUAUGCAACAACCGGUUUAAUUGAACUGGAAAACUUUUAAGAAACAGCCAGGUGAACCGUUCUCCUGUUCAUUUUAUUUAUGUAUGUUUUUUUUUUUUUUUUUUUUAAAAAGGUAAGUAAACUGGCUCUGGCCAUGUAUUUAGUAUGCAGACAGACUAUUGAUUCAUGCAAAUCCAGACCUAUUACUCCAUUGGGUCCAUCUUUGAUAUAUGAAUACCUCCUAUAUGUAUGUAAAGAGAUUCCAAACCAUCUAGUGAACCCUCACGUUACAUGUAGAUGCCAGAAAGAGUAAGACUAAUAUGAAACACAGCUUGACUUUGAACCUUUACAACCUUGUUUUAACAUUUUACGUCUGCUUAAAACAAUUGACAGAUUUGUCAUUAGAGAAAAUAGCUCCUGAAAGACGCAUGCUUUCAGUUGUUUC
ensembl:lncRNA